CAGCAGCCGCGGUAAUUCCAGCUCCCAAUAGCGUAUAUUAAAGUUGUUGUGGUUAAAAAGCUCGUAGUUGAACCUUGGGCCUGGCUGGCCGGUCCGCCUCACCGCGUGUACUGGUCCGGCCGGGCCUUUCCUUCUGUGGAACCUCAUGCCCUUCACUGGGUGUGGCGGGGAAACAGGACUUUUACUUUGAAAAAAUUAGAGUGCUCCAGGCAGGCCUAUGCUCGAAUACAUUAGCAUGGAAUAAUGAAAUAGGACGUGUGGUUCUAUUUUGUUGGUUUCUAGGACCGCCGUAAUGAUUAAUAGGGACAGUCGGGGGCAUCAGUAUUCAAUUGUCAGAGGUGAAAUUCUUGGAUUUAUUGAAGACUAACUACUGCGAAAGCGUUUCACAUGGACGUUUUCAUUGAUCAAGAACGAAAGUCGGGGGAUCGAAGACGAUCAGAUACCGUCGUAGUCUCGACUAUAAACGUUGCCGACCAAGGAUUGAAUGAAGUUACUUGGAUGACUCCUCCAGAACUUUGUGAGAAAUCAUAAGUUUUUGGGUUCCGGGGGGAGUAUGGUCGCAAGGCUGAAACUUAAAUGAAUUGACGG
rnacentral:rRNA from 1 species